UCACCCCCAGGCCAACAAGGCCAAGAGCAGGCAGGACUCAGCAAUGACGACAAUGAAGCCUCCCUGCGUUUAUUGCUCUAGAUCCCAGAUUACCUGGUCCACUCAUGGAAACGAAGCCAUCCUGGGGUGAUCAAUGCCCAAGAUAUGGAAGCAGGUGGGUUCAUCAUUAUCACCAUGCCUCUGCCCCGAUCUGCACCCUCCUCACCAGCCAAAGGUCCCCCCUUCCCGAUGGCCCAAUGCACACAGCUGCUCGGGCUUCUCAGAGUCCCCUAUCCUAUGAGAAGCAAUUACUUCUGUUCUGUCCUUAUUCCUCUUUUCAGGAGAACUGUUCCUUCUAGGCAAAAACCAACAAUGAAACACCCUCUAAGCCCUUUUCCUAUCCAUUUCAAAGCAGUCAGGAGCUUUAAACAAAAAUGAAGUCCUCUUGCAAUUGUGAGCAACGCCCCUGUGGAAAAACAGAUACUGGCACCUGGCAUUGGUGAUCAGGGUGGAGUGGGGUGAGAAUUAUUUGUUUUGGACUAGGGAAACCCAGGAUCACUGUACCCUUGCUUUUAGCUCUGCCUCCUGUGGGAUGGGUCUCUGGGACCAUUUAGCCUCUCACACCUGAUUCUUCAUCUCAGUUUUCUAAGAAAUCUACUUACACGAAACACUAAGAAGCAAUGUAAAAUUCCCUGAGGGUUGCAUUUGGAGAUGCAGGGAGAGUAUAUUGCAUAACCAUCCACUCACUAGUUCCUGGUUUUUCUCUCUUAGAUCCGCCCCGCCCCCCAGACAUAUCCAGGUCCUCUUUGAAACACUCUCAGGGGCUGGGGUUGUGGCUCAGUGGUAGAGCACUCGCCUAGCAUGUGUGAAGCACCAAGUUCGAUCCUCAGCCCCUUUUAUAAAAAAUAAAUAAAUGAAAUAAAGUUAUUGUGUCCAUCUACAACUAAAAAAAAAUUUUUUUAAGGCAUUCAGAGCACUCCCGUUCCAUUCUGUUCCGACCUUUUAGUUUUGCUACCCCAACUGAUGAACCACCAUUCAAAGCCCAGACGGCCCUCUGGUUGGUAGGACCCAUUCUUAGAGAAUGGUGAGAAGUCAAUGAACCCGAAAACCAUUCUAGAAACAACAUUUUACUUCUCUUAAACAAUAGGUACAGUUAUGGAGGUGGAGAAACUAGAGUUGAAAGACUCACAUCCCUGGUGGAGGUGGGAUUAGAACCCGGCACUAUCCAGGUCACCUGCCCCCCAGCAGGCUGAGCCAGUCAGAGUUCCAAAUCUUUCCACCUCACUCCAGGAAGCCAAGGCAGUGGCACAGCGCAGACCCACCUGCUUCUCAGGCAAUCCCCUCCAGUCCUCGCACCCACCACCCGGGGAAGCAGGUGGAGGCAAUGUCAUAAUUUAAACCAGUAGUUUCCAAAGUGAGGUCCCUGGAGCCACAGCAUCAGCGUCACCUGGGAAUCUGUUAGUGACUAGUACUAUCUGCUGGAGCCAUGGAAACAGAGAAACAGGACAGUUUGGGAAUUUUCUAUCCUUUACUUCUGGUAGUAUAGUUCUGCAGGAUGUGUGUGUGUGCAGAAUUGGGACAAAUUAAGGUGACAAGUUUAUAGGAAGUAGGUUUAUGCUUCAUAUCCAGCCACUCAGCUUUUCCAUCAUUUUUUUUUUGAGGGGGGUUUUGGGGGAAGCUGAGAGGAGAGUCAAUUUGAUUUUAAGCACCAUUAAUGUUCUCUUUAAAAAGUUUUGACAUCUAAAAUAAUUACUCAAGUAAUUCAUAAAUAUGUGUUUAUGGUAAAAAUACUCAAACAUUAUAGGAGUAUUCAGAGUGAAAAGAGAAAUCCCUUUCUCUCUCUCACACACACACAUACACACACACUUCUGACUAACAAAAUCUUAAAGGAGAUGAAGGGGACUUAUGUGAAUGACAAGUUUGCCUUCUGUGCUUAGAAAGAAGAGACUGGGGCAGCUGGAGACUCACUUUCUCACCCUGACUUGGGUGUUCUCUGUGCCUCAGUUUCUCCAUCACGUACACAUGCAUAUGCCCUACCCAAAGAUGGUGGUGGCACCCUCCCACUGCCCCACUGGCUGAAGAGCGGGGGUCCUGUGAAAUUUAUUCUGGUCUCUAGGAUGUAUAUACAAGAAUUCCAAGCCAGGUGAAAAUCGCCCCGCUUUCUAUUAUUCCUGUCUACUCACAUUAGGGAAAUAAAUAGGUUCUAGAAAUUAAAUAUGUCCCUUUGUAAUCUAGAGCAUGUUACAUUUUUGGAAACUAUAUUUUGGUGCUUUCCCUAGUGCCUGUCCUAGGUAGGACUUCUUCCCCCAAAUCCCACAGUCUCUUUCAGUGAAGAGAGGUGGACACAGUCUGGGAGCCGUUUCCUGCCCCCUGGACCAUAUUCUGUCCCUGUGAUCUGUCCCUGUGAUAUCUUCACUUCUCCAUCCAUACAGGGGGUUUCAGGGCGCAUAUUUUUUACAUGGAGCAACAGAAGUAUAAAACUCUUUUAUGAAUUACAUAAAAAUAUUAUAAAAAAUAGAAAAAAAAGAGAGUCCCCCUUUUCCCCCCCUCCCCAAUUUCUUUUCUGUCCCCCUCAACACUAACUACUCUUCAUAGCUCAGGGUCAUUGACACCAUGAGCUUGUACCAUACAUAUUGUUCUUUGACUUGCUUUGUUUUUCUGGGGGAUCAUUUUAUAUCAGUACAUAAGGACCAAGCACAUUCUUUUAUUAAAUUUACGUGAACAUAUUUUUGGGGACCAGUAACCUAUGCCAGUGGUUCAGAGUGACACAGAAAAUCAGACCACUCCCUCUUUGAAAGCAGUCCAUCAUGUUGGUGAGGGAAACCUGUAACCCUCUCCCUCCCAAGAUUUUAGCAGGUACAACUGUCUCCCAGCUCCUUGGCACCCUUCUUCUCUUGGGUGCAGAGAACUUGGGGUUGCUGUGAAAGAUGCCCGGUCUCCUUUUACUUCCUUGUUCUCACGACAUCCUUGAGUGGGAGACCCAGUGGACCCUCUUUCCCUGCCCCUCCCCCCACCCUUCAUCUUUAACUGAGUUUCCCGCCACCUCACCCCACAGGUUUCUCUGGAGAUGCUGAGCUGGGAAGCGGGCCUGAGAGCUUUCCAGGAUGUGGAGGAGGUGCCGGGGAUUUGGAUAUGUAUAAAGUACAUUAUUCCUGUUUCCUUCUGGCAAAGGGAUUCAUACCAGGAAGAGAGAGGGACCAAGAAAGCUAGGGUCUGUCAGUGAGAAAACUCAGAGUCCAACCCCUUUUACCUGUGCAAAUGGCCUAGUCUCUGCAUAUCUACACUGUUGUGCAUGCCACAUGAAAACACUCACACACGCACACCCUAGAAAGACAGGUGAUCUGGCUGGGCUCUCCUCUUAGCCUCUAGCUCUGUGUCUCCCAGCUCCUGAACCUCAGUCUCUUCACUAUAACCUGAGGGGUUGGAAAGCACAUUUCCAAAGCUUCCUAAGCUUCUCAGUUCCCAGAGGAUCCUGAGUUCUGGCUUUAGAGGCUCCAGGCUCCAGUUUUACCUGGAGAACGCCUCCUUGGUGAUGGGAGGUCCCUUCCCUUGGAGGUGCAGGGGUGGGGUUGGGGAGGGGGCUGUUCUGCUCCUGAGGUCCUGGGGGACCACAUUAGACCGGCUCUCCCGCCUUGAGCUAUAUUCGGGCUUCCUUCGGACAGCCCAGGCUUGCCUGGAUCCUGGCCAAGCCACAGCUGCCCUCUCCUCCCUCCGCCCCCACCCUGCCCACUCCUGCAGAGGAAGUGAGGAGUGUCGCUUCCUUUAUGAAAUGUCAAAACUCCUUCUGAAGUCCUCUAUAAGGAAGCCAUCCUUCUCAGACAUGGUGUGAACUUGGCUUUUCUGGACCUCAGUUUACCCACCCCUCACCACUCCUGUGAGUGGUUUGUGUGGGGGGGCAUAUAGCUUAGUGGUUAAGGGCAGGUGUUCUGGAAUGCACUGUGUGGGCUUGAGUUCUGUCUUCUCCUUUUUACUGUCUGUGAUCUUGGGUAAGUUACUCAACUUCUUUGCUGCUCAGUUUUGUGAGAAAGAGAAUGUCUGGUGGUUCAUCUUCAGAAUAUAGUACUCAGCCUUCAUUGGAUCAAAUUGUAGCCAUUUUACUUAUUUUUUGGGGGGGGGUGUACUGGGAAUUGAACUCAGGGAUAUUCAACCACAGAGCCACAUCCACAGCCCUAUUUUGAAUUUUAUUUAGGGACAGGGUCUCACUGAAUUGCUUAACGCCUCACCUUUUCUGAAGCUGGCUUUGAACUCACCAUCCUCCCGUCUUGGCCUCCCAAACUGCUGGAAAAUUGCAGGUGUGCGCUGCCGCCCCUGGCUUUCCCGCCCUAAUUUUAAAAUGAGCCAAUCGCAGAGAUUGUACCCCUGAGUCCUCCAAUCAAAGCAAUGGGCAGCGCUGCCUUAGGAAUAAAAGCAGGUGGACUACGGGCCCAGGAGCGCUGGCUAGGUUCUGUAGCAUGCUCUUCUGGGAGAAGUGAAAGUUUGCCUUGACCACCUACUUUGGAGAACGAGUUUGAUUUCUUGGCAUUUUGGUUUUUCUAACAGCUCCCCUAUUUAAUAGUGCUGACCUCUGUAGGAGGGAGUCUGGGAGGCACAAGCCCAUUAACAUAAGCAUGGCGAUAAUAAGCCUGGAAAGCCAUUGCUCCUGGCUCUGGGUGGACAUUCUCUGGCAAGUCCCUGUCCACGGUCCAGUAACAGAAAGGUUGGGCCUUCCAGCUCUAAAUUUCUGGAGAUCCCGCAGGAGGUGCACACACAUGGCAGCUAUGUCCACAGCUACUUUACACAGGACACACACUCAGAGGUACAGAGGCUCAGAGGUGCUGAUCUGAGCCAAGACGCAAGUGUACCUGCACAGGGGACAGAGAGAAAUAAUGAACACUUGGGGACACAGUCAGCCACCUGCUUGCUUUCCCUCAGAAUGAAGCAGAAGGCACCUUAUUCCAGGGACAGCAGCAGCGUCCUUUACCCCAACCUUUCAGGUAGGAUUGGGGGAAAAGAGGGAUUCAGAAAGAUGGGGAAAAGUGGGGAGUCUAUUCUCCCCCAGGGAAGAGGACCACCUCCCAGUGCUGGAGUGGGUGGUGACUGUGACAAUAGGGGAGGGGAAUCUGAAGCCCCCCUCCCCAGCUGCUCCAGGCAGGCUGGGUCCAGAUGCAUCUCCUGUGUGUGACUGCAGGGACUGGAACCUUCUUUCCAGCCUGACUUUAAGCAGAUGGAGGGGGCUGUUAGCUUUCCUGCCCCAGGGGCUGCGGAGGGCACUUUAGCUGGGAGGCAGCAGGGACCCUAACUUGGAUCUCUGGGGGAGAUCCCAGGAUGGUGAUGGACCACUGCCUUCGGGCCCCUGCAGGAAGCACUAAGCUGCCAGAGGACAAACAAGUCAAGGAGCCAUUGUUUUUAGAGAAGCCUCCUUUUCAGGAAGGCUUCAAGGUCCCUGCUCAGCUGGCCAAGGUCCUUUGACUUUCUGCUUCCAGGGAUCUCCUGGGGCCAAGCCGUUUCCUGGAUAACAGUCUAGAAAGCGCCAUCCCCAUUUACAUAACUUCCUCUCCUAAAACCUACCGUCCCCUAAAAAUAGACACUGCAUCCCCUUCGCAGGUGAGGAAAUGAAGCUUAGGGAUGUGUGAGGUGGCCUGGGUUGCACAAAGCGGUGGCAGUUUCUGCUCCUGCCAGGCCUCCCUACCAUCAGAGGGCUGGUGUGAGAGAGCACCUCUACUGGCCAAGGGAGCAGAGGGAGUGGAAGGCUGCAGGGAUCCCUCCAGGUGCAGGAGGGAAUCACAGAGGUGGAGUGGGGGAGGGGGAGGGACAACACCCCUUUGACAGCCCCAACCUUGAGACCCUCAGCACACAGCUGGAUUUUGCUCCCAUCACUAAAGCCCACCCAACCUUGUAGGAAGCAGAAACCUGGCAAUGGGAGACUUACCCAUGUGCCAAAGUCAGAGGGUAAAUGCCCCUGCUAGAGAUGGCAAGGCUAGAAGGUUGUGGUCCUGGGACAGGAAUAAACUGCAUGGAGUGGUGCGAGGUAAGAGUCUUCAAGGUCAUUGCCAGUUCUCCGUAGUCCGUGGUGAAGCAGCUAUGUGGAGGAGGUCUAGCUUGGGGAAGAAGGUGGGGAGGUCGGAGCACAACCCUCCUUCACCUGCCUACAGCAGGACACAACUGGGACUCUCGUCACAGACGCCCAGGCCCCUGUCCCUUUUCUUCAGUACUCAAUGACUCAGGUUGACAAGAGUCAUGGACUAGAUGAGACAUCUGGCUCUGACUCCCUUUAAUCUGUGACACUUUGGUUCAUGGAUUGGUCAUACAUCAUGGUGACUAUUCAGAGUGGGCGUCAGACCUACAGGUACCCAUCUACAGGAUAGCCAAUGAUUUAUGUUGAAGCCUGGCCUAAGGAAUCUGUCUUCCUAGUGGGGGUGAUAAUAACCAAAGUAUUGCUUCUCUGCCUUCGGCAUCCAUCAGAAUUAUCUGGGGGACUUUUAAACUAUAUGGGCACUCAGCCUCCAUUUCCCAGAAAUUUUGAUUACUUUGGAUUGGGGUGCAGACAUUGGUAUUUUACAAAUGAUUCUUAAAUAAUCUUAACGUGCAGGGGCUGGGGUUGUGGCUCAGCGGUAGAACACUCACCUAGCACGUGCGAGGCCCUGGGUUCGAUCCUCAGCACUACAUGAAAAUAAAUAAAUAAAAUAAAGAUAUUGUGUCCAGUUACAACUAAAUAGAUAUUAAAAAAAAAUCUUAAUGUGCAGUCAUGUUUGGGAGCCACUAAUGAAGCCAAUCAUUCUAUUUUUUUUUUUUACUUCAUUAUGUGCAACAUAACAAAGUCUUUGAUAAUUCCAAUAUCUGGAUCAUUCCAAUAUCUUGUUUUGGGCCUUAUGUUGAUAAUCUUUUUCUUUGAAAAUGUGCUACAUUUCAUUUGCAUAUUGAAUAAUUUUGAAUUGCAUUCUGGAUGUUAUAGUUUGGAUGUGAGGUGUCCUCCAGUCCUGCUUGUGUGUGAGAUAAUUCAAAGUUUAGAGGAGAAAUGAUUGGGUUAUGAGAGCCUUAACCCGAUCAGUGAAUUAACCUCCCAGAUGGGAUUAACAAAGUGGUAACUGAAGGCUAAUAGGAUGUGGCUGGAGGAGAUGUGUCUUUGGGGUAUAUAUUUUAUAUCUGGGAGUGGAGUCUAUCUCUGCUCUCUGAUCGUCAUGUGAACCGCUUCUCUCCACCAUAUCCUUCUGCCAUGAUAUUCAGCCCCAUCUCAAGCUGAACUAUUCUAUUUGUCUCAUACCUUUUUUGUGUGUGAUUCUGUUCUUCUUUUACCAUCUUCUUUUUGAUAAAUAAUAUUUUAGCAUAUUACUUUAUUCCUUUAUUGAUUUUAACUUUUCACACACAAAAUUUUGUCUUGUCUUUUCUAAUGAGGCUUUUUCUACAUCCUCACUCCAUCAUGCCCCAAAAAGAUAAUUAAUUUUUUAUUAUUAAACUAUCCUUAUUUACCUGGGAUAAAUCUUAUUGGGUUUUGAUAUAUCCUGUUUACAUAUAGUUGCUGGAGAUGCCAACUUUUUUCCACAUUUUUUAUUGGUGUAUUAUAGUUGUACACAACGAUGUGAUUUGUUGUUACAUAUUCAUAACAUGCACACAAUAUAACAAUGUAAUUUGGCCAAUAUCACUCUCCAUUGGUAUGUUAAGGACGUUGUUUGUUUUGUUUGCUUUUGGUUUUUUAUAUGUUUUUUUUAAGUUAUUAAAGACUAAGUUUAUGAGGGAACUUGAUUAAUAACCCAAAAACAAGCUUAUCGUGUUUUAAUAUGAAGGUUAUGCUUGUCUCAAAAAGGAGUUGGAAAGAAUACCAUUUGCUAUUCUCUGAAAGAUGUUAUAUGAGAUUGGAGUCAUUUUUUUCCUUUAAGUGUUUGAAAGAAUUUACUGGAGAAUCCAUUUGGCCUGUGGUUAUCUUUGUGAGUUAUUUUUUUUUAAUUAAAAAAUAAUAAUGGCUUGACUUUGGGUUUCCAGUCCUGCUUGUGACAGGUGAAUAGUCAGCCAUGAGCAGGUGCGUAGGCGAGGACAAGGAAGGGCAGUAACUUGCUGGGAGGACAUUAGACAUACAUAUCAAAGAGAGCCCAUAAGUCACAGGACUGACUGGGGAUGAAAAAAAAAAUUAUCAAAGCAGAUCAGCAUCCAGGAAAUGGGAACUGGUAUGUCAGACCUCCCCCAACCAUAGUUGCAACCACUUAAGGAAACUAUCAGCACAAGACCAUGUUGCAACUAUCUCUUGUGACCAGGUCAUCCCGACAUCCCGACCUCCCCCUCCCAUGACCAGGUCAUCACUGAAACCAUGUCAUAGCCAUCCUUUGUGACCAGGUCAUCAUGACCUUUGAAAAGAAAACUUGCUGAGGGCUAGCUAUACCAAGGGUAAUAGGCCACUUAAGGGGGUAUGAGAAACCAAGGCAAGAACACAGGAACUCAAAACCAGGCUUCAAAAGGGACUUAGAAACCCAGACUCUAUAAGAUUGACGCCAUUCUCUCCAGAGAUGGUCCACUCAGUGCCUAAGCUGUAUGUCCUUGUCCUCAUUAUUGCUAAAAAAAAAAAAAAAAAAACCCUCCUGCUGUCUUUGUAGAUGGCUAGAAAUCCUUCCUGCCAGAUCUCAAGAACUGGUUGCUACAGACCCCUGGGGUCACUUCAGCUCAGUGGGAACAGCUUUAUAGCACCCGUGAGGAGCUUGGUAGCUCUCAUUUUCCCAUCUUAACAUUGUGGGAAAAAAAGCUGAACAACUGAAAGUUGACAACUCUUCAUUUUUUUAGGGGGGGGGUGGUGUGGGGUACUGGGGAUUGAACUCAAGGGCACUCAACCAAUGAGUCACAUCCCCAGCCCUAUUUUGUAUUUUAUUUAGAGACAGGGUCUCACUGAGUUGCUCAGCACCUCACCGUUGCUGAGGCUGGCUUUGAACUCCUGAUCCUCCUGCCUCAGCCUCCCAAACCACUGGGAUUAUAGGCUGUCACAGGCAUGGUGACAACUCUUCUUAAAUUCAACAAAAAAACUGAGGUCACAGGACAAACCUUUGCUUCAAAAAUUAGAUACAAGCUGAGCAUGGUGGUGUGUUGAGGAUCCCACACAUUUGUGAGUUUCACCUCUAGGGGCCCUCCCAGGUUCUUCUAGUGAAGAACAGAAAAAUUCCCUUAUGCUUCUAGCAUAAGGAAGGGGAAGCAGCCAUUUUGAGAGCAUUCUCUACCUCUUCACAAAGCCUGUCCCUGUGAGAAACUUCUACCAGAGCCUAACUGACCUGGGGGAAGGGAAAUAUUCAUAUCCACUCCACUCUAGCCUUUUUGUAGGGCAAUAUCAACACUACCUUCCCUAAUUGUCCUGUUUGUCCUAAGGGGACAGAAGCAGCAGAGGCAUGGGCCCAUCAAAGAUGGAAACCUAAUCCCAGGACUAUAGAACACUUCAUCCACACUUACCACCACAUGAGUGGGGCUCUUGUACAACAGGAGCCAAAAAACACAGCGUACAGAAGAAAUUUUAACCCCUGACACCUAUAGACACAGCAAACAGCAAACACAGCCUAACUCCUAGAGAGAUUGACAUAAAAUCUGAUGCUAAAGACCUAUUUCCUUUUAAUCAGUACAUCAUGUUGGCUUUCAACAACAAGAAAACCCACAAGGCAUACUCAAAGACAGAAAAACAAAACAAAAUAAAACAAAAAAGUUUGAAGGGACAAAACAAGUAUCAGAACCAGACUCAGAAAUGGCAGAGUUCUUGGAAUUAUCUGACUGGGAACCUAAAACAAUGAAAUUAAUUUGCGAAGGGCUUUCGUGGGAAAAGUGGGCAACAUGCAAAAACAAUAUGCAAUAAUAUAAGCAGAGGUGGAAACUCCAAGAAAGAAUCGACAGGAAAUGCUAGCAAUCAAAAACGUGGUAACAGGGGGCUGGGGCUGAGGCUCGGUGGUAGAGCGCUUGCCUAGCAUGUGUGAGGCACUGGAUUCGAUCCUCAGCACCACAUAAAAUAACUAAAUAAAUAAAAUAAAGUUAUAUGUCCAUCUACAACUACAAACAUAUGUUUUAAGAAAAACCAUGGUAACAGAAAUGAAGAACAUCUUUGAAGGGCUAAUCAGUUUGUAUAUCACCAAGAAUCAGUGACCUUGAAGAAAUGUCAAUAAAAACUUCCCAAACUGAAAUGCAAAAAGAAAAACAGAAUGAAGCAGAAUGGAGACAGUGUGAUUCCCCCCAACCCACUCCCCACCAAAAGGGCAAAUGCAAUCCCCAGAUCUAACUCAUAACCUGUUGGCGAUUAAAAUUAUAUUAGGAGUUUUUUUUUCCUAUUUUAUAACCCUUAACUGUUACCCAUUAAGAAGUAUGAUAUAGUUUCUUGACUGUGCCCUCACUCUCGCCAACAAUCAUAUCAACCUCAAAAACCCCAGGUGCAGCUCUAAAAUCAGGAUGCCUUUGCCUUCACAUCACCACUGAGGAUAAACUAGAAAGACAAUGGAAUUAUUGGGAGAUUACCACAAAAAGCUAAAGAAAAAUUUCCCAAGCUCUAAACCUGAUCCUCGCGUGAUUUGUGUUUCUUCUGCUUCAGAUCCCACUAUGUGAUCUUCUAGCAGCUGCAGCAAUUCAUCCUUAUCCCAGGACAAAGAUGCUUAUACAGAUGUGGUGUCAACAGGAGAGAUGGACUGUUUGGCUCCAGACCCACUAGAUGGCCCCUCCCUCGGCGUAGAAGUGCUCACACCUCAACAAAAACCAAAACCACCUUUGAGUUGUACCUAAAGCCAGUUAAAAUCCCUAAACUCCAGCCUACUCCUAAACCCUUCCACCUGAAUCAAAACCAGGUCUUUUCAUUGUGCACAGAGCCAGCCUGAUCUCUCUCUCACUGUUCCCUCCCCCUCUCCUUGAGGUUAACUUGCCCAAUUAAAACUCUGACUGUGUGUUCCUAUCCCCUGACCUGGUUUUCAUUUCUGUUGUCACCGGGCAGAAGUUCCCAGCUCCUGCAUCAGAAUGUCCAAGAAACAGUGAGAUAAUUACAAAAAGUAUUUAAAAGAGAAGAAAUAUUUAAAAUGAUAAUAACUAAGAGUAUCCCCCAAUUAUUGACAGAUCCCCAAACCAUUGAACCAGAAAUCUUGGAGAACACCAAGUGGGAUAAAUAACAAAACAAAACAGAGAAACAAUAACUGGGUAAUGGUGCUGUUUUCCUAGAGUCCCAAGAAGGCUGAGAGGGAGGAGGAGUCCUUGAACCCAGGAAUUCAAAGCCAGCCUGGACAACAGUGAAAACCCAUCUCAUGGGGGAAAAAAAAAUCCGAUGUAGGCAUAUAUCACAUUGUCACUGUAGAAAAUUAAAGACAAAGAGAAAAACCUGAAAUAAAGCAAAGGGGGAAAAUAUUUAUAGAGAAAAAAAGGAUAAGAAUUACUCAGAAUUUUCAUUUCUUCUGU
rnacentral:lncRNA from 1 species